rnacentral:rRNA from 1 species
CCUACGGGAGGCAGCAGUGGGGGAUAUUGCACAAUGGGGGGAACCCUGAUGCAGCGACGCCGCGUGGGUGAAGGAGUGCUUCGGCAUGUAAAGCCCUAUCGGCAGGGAAGAAGCAAGACGGUACCUGACUAAGAAGCCCCGGCUAACUACGUGCCAGCAGCCGCGGUAAUACGUAGGGGGCGAGCGUUAUCCGGAUUCACUGGGUGGAAAGGGAGCGUAGACGGCCAAGCAAGCCAGGGGUGAAAGCCCGGGGCCCAACCCCGGGACUGCCCUUGGAACUGCAUGGCUGGAGUGCGGGAGGGGCAGGCGGAAUUCCUGGUGUAGCGGUGAAAUGCGUAGAUAUCAGGAGGAACACCGGCGGCGAAGGCGGCCUGCUGGACCGCUACUGACGUUGAGGCUCGAAAGCGUGGGGAGCGAACAGGAUUAGAUACCCUUGUAGUC